UACGUAGGGUGCAAGCGUUAAUCGGAAUUACUGGGCGUAAAGCGUGCGCAGGCGGUUUUGUAAAUCAGAUGUGAAAUCCCCGGGCUUAACCUGGGAACUGCGUUUGAAACUACAAGGCUAGAGUGUGGCAGAGGGGGGUGGAAUUCCACGUGUAGCAGUGAAAUGCGUAGAGAUGUGGAGGAACACCGAUGGCGAAGGCAGCCCCCUGGGUUAACACUGACGCUCAGGCACGAAAGCGUGGGGAGCAAACAGG
rnacentral:rRNA from 1 species